rnacentral:rRNA from 1 species
CCUACGGGAGGCAGCAGUGGGGAAUAUUGGACAAUGGGCGAAAGCCUGAUCCAGCCAUGCCGCGUGUGUGAAGAAGGCCUUCGGGUUGUAAAGCACUUUCAGUGGGGAAGAAAGCCUUGGGGCUAAUACCCUCGAGGAAGGACAUCACCCACAGAAGAAGCACCGGCUAACUCCGUGCCAGCAGCCGCGGUAAUACGGAGGGUGCGAGCGUUAAUCGGAAUUACUGGGCGUAAAGCGCGCGUAGGCGGUCUGAUAAGCCGGUUGUGAAAGCCCCGGGCUCAACCUGGGAACGGCAUCCGGAACUGUCAGGCUAGAGUGCAGGAGAGGAAGGUAGAAUUCCCGGUGUAGCGGUGAAAGGCGUAGAGAUCGGGAGGAAUACCAGUGGCGAAGGCGGCCUUCUGGACUGACACUGACGCUGAGGUGCGAAAGCGUGGGUAGCAAACAGGAUUAAUACCCGAGUAGUC